GACAAACGCAAGCCAUGCUUUUCAUGCUUUAAACAACCGGUGUGGGGUAUUUUUAGUUAGACACUAUUUCUUGUGCCAGUGCGUAAUUUGGGUCGUUCACCACAGCUGUUAAAUGACACAAGACGUGGAUCAACCCCACAUCACUGAAGUGAAGCUGACGUUUGAGUUAAUUGAGCUGGGAAAUGACCCACAUUUGAAUUCGGUUGAGAUCUCCAUUCUGAUUGCACGCGCCUGAGAGUGGUCAGCAGGCUCCUGGCACUCGUGGUGCAGAGCUCAUGGUCGCUUUGGACGCUCCUGGACGCGCGCACUGGAGACGCCACGGCAGCACGGCUCACAAGCGCAAUACACAUCAGCAUAAAAUAGCCUAAAUAAAGCAAAUACAGUAAACCACUAACAGGUGGCAUUGCGGAAAGAUA